rnacentral:rRNA from 1 species
AUUGAACGCUGUCGGCAUGCUUUACACAUGCAAGUCGAACGGUAACAGGGAGCUUGCUCAGCUGACGAGUGGCGAACGGGUGAGUAAUGCGUCGGAACGUGCCGAGUAGUGGGGGAUAACGCAUCGAAAGGUGUGCUAAUACCGCAUACGUACUGGGGUAGAAAGGGGGGGACCUUCGUGCCUCAUGGUAGUCGAGCGGCCGACGUCUGAUUAUGUCGUUGGUGAGGUAAAGGCUCACCAAGGCGACGAUCAGUAGCGGGUCUGAGAGGAUGAUCCGCCACACUGGGACUGAGACACGGCCCAGACUCCUACGGGAGGCAGCAGUGGGGAAUUUUGGACAAUGGGCGCAAGCCUGAUCCAGCCAUGCCGCGUGUCUGAAGAAGGCCUUCGGGUUGUAAAGGACUUUUGUCCGGGAGCAAAUACCCAGUGCUAAUAACGCUGGGGGCUGAGAGUACCGGAAGAAUAAGCACCGGCUAACUACGUGCCAGCAGCCGCAGUAAAAC